AUGGGACAAGGGGAGAAAGAUUCAGCUGAUAAUUUGGUCUCUCCAUCUGAUGAUAGGAACGAGCUGCAAGUGGAAGAUCUACGUGUGAAGGAAAGAUGCUUUGAGCAGAGAGAAGCUCUUCCUGGGGAGCCUCGCUGUGUUAUAUGUGGUCGAUACGGGGAAUAUAUAUGUGAUCAGACUGAUGAUGAUAUCUGUAGUGUGGAAUGCAAGACUGCUCUUCUUGCUAGAAUUGCCGCUGAAACAAAGAUACCAGUAAAAGCACCAGCACGCAUAAAAGUUCCGUUUGGUGAUGAGAGCUUCUGUGUCCGAGACAAUAAUUUUCCCGAUAUACCGAGUUUGCAUGCCAGCCAGAUCGUUUCACUGAGAAAUAAACUUGACAUUUGUGUCAAGGGUGAGGCAAUUCCUGAUCCAAUCAUGUGUUUCUCUUCCUGUGGUCUUCCUGAGAAGCUUGUGCACAAUCUUGAUGCUGCAGGGUAUACCAUGCCUACUCCGGUGCAGAUGCAAGUCAUCCCUGCAUCAAUAAGUAAUAGAAGCCUACUUGUCUCUGCAGAUACUGGUUCAGGGAAAACAGCUUCUUUUCUAGUUCCUAUAAUUGCACAUUGUUCACGGAGAGAGCUGCAGCAAUGUGAAAGCAAGCGUGGGCCCUUGGCUAUAGUCCUUGCUCCAACUAGGGAGCUAUGCCUACAGGUGGAGGAUCAAGCAAAAGUUCUUGGAAAGGGUUUACCAUUUAAAACUGCUCUAGUUGUUGGUGGAGAUCCCCUGGCUCAGCAAAUAUAUAGAAUUGAAAAUGGUGUCGAGUUAAUUGUGGGCACCCCAGGAAGACUAAUUGAUCUUCUGAUGAAACACAAUGUUGACCUUACAGAUGUUUCUGUGUUUGUUCUGGAUGAAGUGGACUGCUUGCUAGAGAGAGGAUUCAGAGAUCAGGCCAUGCAGAUCUUUCGUGCACUCUCAUGUCCACAGGUUAUGAUGUUUUCAGCAACAAUACAUUCAGAAAUUGAGAAAUUGUCAAACUCACUGUCGAACAACAUGAUACAUAUUUCUUGUGGGAACCCAGGUAAACCAAAUAAAUCAGUUAGACAAGUGGUAAUUUGGGUGGAGUCUAAGCAGAAGAAGCAGAAGAUUUUUGAGAUAAUAAAAAGUAAGCAGCACUUUAAACCUCCUGCUGUUGUAUUUGUGAGUUCCAGAGUUGGUGCCGAUCUCUUGUCUGAAGCCAUUACUGCUGCUACUGGGUUGGAGGUUAUUUCUAUUCAUGGUGAGAAAACAAUGGAAGAGAGAAGAGAAAGAUUGAGACGGUUUCUCACAGGAGAAGUAUCUGUUGUUGUUUGUACCGGGGUCUUGGGACGUGGAAUGGAUCUUCUGAAAGUACAUCAAGUGAUUUUGUUUGACAUGCCAAAUUCCAUUGAUGAAUAUAUUCACCAAGUUGGAAGAGCGUCUCGGAUGGGUAAGGAGGGCGUGGCUAUUGUCUUUGUGAAUGAGGAAGAUAGGAAACUUUUUGGAGAGCUUGCUCAGGUUCUGAAGACUGCAGGAGCUCCAAUUCCUCGGGAACUCUCUAAUUCAAAAUUCACCAGCAGUAUUUCUCUUGGCACUGACAGGAAGAGAAAACUGAGUUCUCGGGCACAUUCUUGA
rnacentral:rRNA from 1 species